rnacentral:rRNA from 1 species
CAGCUCGUGUCGUGUAGAUGUUCGGGUUAAGUCCGUAACGAGACGCAACCCUUGUCCUUAGUUACCAGCACGUUAUGGUGGGCACUCUAAGGAGACUGCCGGUGACAAACCGGAGGAAGGUGGGGAUGACGUCAAGUCAUCAUGGCCCUUACGGCCUGGACUACACACGUGCUACAAUGGUCGGUACAAAGGGUUGCCAAGCCGCGAGGUGGAGCUAAUCCCAUAAAACCGAUCCGUAGUCCGGAUCGCAGUCUGCAACUCGACUGCGUGAAGUCGGAAUCGCUAGUAAUCGUGAAUCAGAAUGUCACGGUGAAUACGUUCCCGGGCCUU